rnacentral:tRNA from 1 species
GACAGUUUGGCCGAGUGGUCUAAGGCUCUGGCUUAAUGCGCCAGUCUGAAAGAGCGUGGGUUCGGACCCCACAGCUGUCA